rnacentral:rRNA from 1 species
AAAUUGAAGAGUUUGAUCAUGGCUCAGAUUGAACGCUGGCGGCAGGCCUAACACAUGCAAGUCGAACGGUAACAGGAAGCAGCUUGCUGCUUUGCUGACGAGUGGCGGACGGGUGAGUAAUGUCUGGGAAACUGCCUGAUGGAGGGGGAUAACUACUGGAAACGGUGGCUAAUACCGCAUAACGUCGCAAGACCAAAGAGGGGGACCUUCGGGCCUCUUGCCAUCAGAUGUGCCCAGAUGGGAUUAGCUUGUUGGUGAGGUAACGGCUCACCAAGGCGACGAUCCCUAGCUGGUCUGAGAGGAUGACCAGCCACACUGGAACUGAGACACGGUCCAGACUCCUACGGGAGGCAGCAGUGGGGAAUAUUGCACAAUGGGCGCAAGCCUGAUGCAGCCAUGCCGCGUGUAUGAAGAAGGCCUUCGGGUUGUAAAGUACUUUCAGCGGGGAGGAAGGUGUUGUGGUUAAUAACCCAGCAAUUGACGUUACCCGCAGAAGAAGCACCGGCUAACUCCGUGCCAGCAGCCGCGGUAAUACGGAGGGUGCAAGCGUUAAUCGGAAUUACUGGGCGUAAAGCGCACGCAGGCGGUCUGUCAAGUCGGAUGUGAAAUCCCCGGGCUCAACCUGGGAACUGCAUUCGAAACUGGCAGGCUUGAGUCUUGUAGAGGGGGGUAGAAUUCCAGGUGUAGCGGUGAAAUGCGUAGAGAUCUGGAGGAAUACCGGUGGCGAAGGCGGCCCCCUGGACAAAGACUGACGCUCAGGUGCGAAAGCGUGGGGAGCAAACAGGAUUAGAUACCCUGGUAGUCCACGCCGUAAACGAUGUCUACUUGGAGGUUGUGCCCUUGAGGCGUGGCUUCCGGAGCUAACGCGUUAAGUAGACCGCCUGGGGAGUACGGCCGCAAGGUUAAAACUCAAAUGAAUUGACGGGGGCCCGCACAAGCGGUGGAGCAUGUGGUUUAAUUCGAUGCAACGCGAAGAACCUUACCUGGUCUUGACAUCCACAGAACUUUCCAGAGAUGGAUUGGUGCCUUCGGGAACCGUGAGACAGGUGCUGCAUGGCUGUCGUCAGCUCGUGUUGUGAAAUGUUGGGUUAAGUCCCGCAACGAGCGCAACCCUUAUCCUUUGUUGCCAGCGAUUAGGUCGGGAACUCAAAGGAGACUGCCAGUGAUAAACUGGAGGAAGGUGGGGAUGACGUCAAGUCAUCAUGGCCCUUACGACCAGGGCUACACACGUGCUACAAUGGCGCAUACAAAGAGAAGCGACCUCGCGAGAGCAAGCGGACCUCAUAAAGUGCGUCGUAGUCCGGAUUGGAGUCUGCAACUCGACUCCAUGAAGUCGGAAUCGCUAGUAAUCGUGGAUCAGAAUGCCACGGUGAAUACGUUCCCGGGCCUUGUACACACCGCCCGUCACACCAUGGGAGUGGGUUGCAAAAGAAGUAGGUAGCUUAACCUUCGGGAGGGCGCUUACCACUUUGUGAUUCAUGACUGGGGUGAAGUCGUAACAAGGUAACCGUAGGGGAACCUGCGGUUGGAUCACCUCCUUACCUUAAAGAAGC